CAGGGGAGGGGAGGACUGGUAGGGAGCUCCUGCCAAUGAACAAAAAUGAAAGAGGCCUAAUGAGAACACUGGGGCUUUUCCUUCCUGUGUUUGGAUGAUAUCAUGUGGGAUGUGGUGCUGGAUCUGGAGCAGCUGUUUUGUGGUCAUGAGGAGAAAGAAGAGAAUCACAGAAAGGAUAAUUUAGCAGUCUGGCCCAGAGGGAUUUUUAUCCCAGGUAUCUUGGUGGCCUGUGACAUUUUUGGAAGCCUCCCUGCACCCAGUUCAAAUGGGUACCUGGAAAACUUUAUGCUCUAAUUCUGAACUUCCUAGCUGAACCAAUGGAACUGCAGGAGCACAUUCCUUGUGCGUCUGAACCUCAAGUCUGUCCGGUGGGGAUGGAGGUGGGAGGAAGAGGAUCGCUGGGAUCCCAAUCUUCCACGUUCCUAUGACUGUGUUAAAGAACACAACAACAUGACCUCAGGCUCCGUAAACUUUCCUGCUUUGCCAGCGUAAGCAGCGGCUGAUGUCCUAGACCCUUGAUGACUCAAGUCCACAUUACCGCCUCUUAUCCGUCCACCAGGGGAAAAGAAUGCAAAGUUUCCAAUUACUGUCACCAUCGUCACUGGUCACUUCAGCACUGAGGUUAGGCACACGUUUGAAACAAUUGGUAUGAAAUUUUUAAAUGACCUUUUAGUAGAUAGUAUAAUAUAUGGAACAGGAUUCAUACACAGAGAGGGCAAGCACUGAGUAGCAAAAUGUAUCCAAGAAGGUAACAAAACCAUAUUUACCAUGCAUUUGCAUUUACUUCACAAAAGCUUGUAACCUUAAAGCCCCUGAGCUGUUUGUCAGUGAUCAUCUUUUCAUUUGAUAUGCCAGAAUAAUUUUUUUUCUGAAGUUACCAUUGACUAAGAAAAGCCUGGUAUUCUUUCCAAAUACUUUGAGUUUGUGGGCUGUUCCUCCUGGGUUUGAAUCAUUCCAGUGGCUGAUACUGCUUGUGGGAGCCCUCUCUCUCUUCAUCCUGCCAUUAACCAGGACUCCUUUAUUAUGAAUAACAGGUACCACCCCAAAAGGGAAUCUGCUAGUUCACAAAGCCAAGAAGGCUGUGGGAAGGCUGGCGGAGACUGAGGGAAGAGCCGGUCUGUCUGUGUCUGUGUCUGUGUCUGUGUCUGUGUCUGUGUCUGUGUCUGUGUCUGUGUCUGUGUCUGUGUCUGUGUCUGUGUCUCUGUUUCUGUCUCUGUCUCUGUCUGUGUCUCUGUCUCUGUCUCCCCUCCUCUCCCUUUCCUGCUUCACUCUGUCCCAUCACAUCAUCUUACAAUGCCAUCCUCAAAUUCUUCAGGCGAGGGGCUACAGAAGAACGAGCCAGGAUAACUGGGAAAGUUCUGACAAAGGCCUCUGACUGGCCCAGCCUGGGUCAGGAGCCUGUAUGCUGCCCAGGCCCGGCAUCAUGAGUGGCCAGCCUGGCCCUGUGUUGAGGCUGGAGGAUGAGGCACUGCCCUACCACGACCACCCACAGUGAGAGGAGCUCCCUCAGGGUACAGGAGGGCGCAGGAAUGGCAGGAAAAACUGUGCGAAGUUCCCAAGCCAGGCCCCCACCUCCCGCUGGCUCUCUCCUCAGGGUCAGCUGACAUGUCCUGGUCUGCACUCCUACCGAUGGGCCAUUCGUGUUUCUCCUUUGUUCAGGUACCAGAGGGUCCCAAACACGUUCCUACCCGAGAUUCCUUGGGAUAAAGCGCUAAACUUAACCUUUUUACCUUCUCCUUCUAGACCUCUAUUUUAUCAUCCCUAAAACACAUUAAGGUGUUUUCCGAAACAGAAUAACCGAUUUUUUCCUUCCGUCCUCUCAGAGCAAUGACUCAACAUGCAACUAGCUUCUGAAGCAUUAAUUUUCUUCUCCCUGUGUGUGUAUGCAUACAAAGCAUGCUGCCCCAAUAUGGGACCCUGUAACCCUAAAAUUAAUGCAUGAUUACCUCUGAUGUGGGAAUCCUGAGUAAUUUUUAUGCAUUUUAUUGAUUUUAUUGUAUGUUUCCUUUACCUUUCACUUGUUUUUGUUUUUGUUCUUGAGACGGGAUCUUACUCUAUUUCAGUAUGGUGUUGAACUCACCAUGUAGCACAGGCUGGCCUCAAACUCACGGUGAUCUGUUUCAGCUUCCUGAGUGUUGGAAUCACAGGCAUGCACCACCAAAGCUGGCUACUUUUCCUUUUUUUUGCUUCAAUAUACAUAUAUAUAUAUAUACAUGUCCAUAUGUUGUUUCUUUCAGCUUCUCACACUAGUGAGACAAUACGGUAUUUACACAGGCGGGUCUGAUUCACUUUACAUAUGAGUAUGGUCUCAAGCUGCAUCAUUUAACUAUAAAAAUCUCGGUGGAGCAGCGGCGCAGAAUCCUAUUCCAGUUUGGGGGAACUCUCUUCCUCGCCUGGGGGCCAGGCCACAGUUUCCUGCUGGGACCAGUGAGUGGGGCCGAGGCUUGGAACCCCGUCCCAGCCUGGUGGACCUUUCUCCCUCACUUGGAACAACACUUGAAGCUCAAAAAUAUAGGAAAAUGACAAAAUGAAAGACCAAAAUGCAAUCUCAAACAUCCAGCCCAUCCCAAGAAAGCCUAGGAGCCAUGUGCAUAGAAGAAAACAUGUGCCACAUACCUGAAAUACCUGAAAUAAUAGUAACUGAAAUAAAGAAGCAACUCUGGGAAGCCUUAAAGGAAUUCAAACUAGAAAUAAUCUCUCAGGUGAAAGAAGAAAUGAUAAAAGAAAUGAAGGAGAUGCUGACCAUAUCUAAAGAAGACACAGUUAAAAAACUAUAAAAGUCUCCAGUUUAUCCUUCUUUAUGGCUGAAUAGUACUCCAUUGUAUAAAGAUAGUUAUACUACUGAUUUCUCUGUGUUCACUGAAGAGAAAGAUUUGUGUUGGUACUAUCUGGACAACUGAAUGCAGAUGUCUUGUGCUCUGGGUGAAUGACUCAGGAUGACAGUGUGCAAUUAUGUACUACUGUUGCCCCCUGAGUUAUGUUUUGAAUUCUUUAGUUUUUUCUUUUCCUCCUUGAAAUAAAAUGAAUUUGGGAAAAAAAUCA